GGGAGAGCGCAAGAGCCUGGGCUGUGUCCCUCGCGUCCUGGGCUCUGGGGCCUGCGCUGCUGGAAUCGCGCUCCCGGGGCCGCGCAGCCUCCU
rnacentral:pre_miRNA from 1 species